ACGACAUCGAAAGCUUGCUUUUGAUGGGCGUCGACCGGCGCACGGGUGAGUAACGCGUAUCCAACCUGCCCACCACUUGGGGAUAACCUUGCGAAAGUAAGACUAAUACCCAAUGAUAUCUCUAGAAGACAUCUGAAAGAGAUUAAAGAUUUAUCGGUGAUGGAUGGGGAUGCGUCUGAUUAGCUUGUUGGCGGGGUAACGGCCCACCAAGGCGACGAUCAGUAGGGGUUCUGAGAGGAAGGUCCCCCACAUUGGAACUGAGACACGGUCCAAACUCCUACGGGAGGCAGCAGUGAGGAAUAUUGGUCAAUGGGCGAGAGCCUGAACCAGCCAAGUAGCGUGCAGGAUGACGGCCCUAUGGGUUGUAAACUGCUUUUAUAAGGGAAUAAAGUGAGUCUCGUGAGACUUUUUGCAUGUACCUUAUGAAUAAGGACCGGCUAAUUCCGUGCCAGCAGCCGCGGUAAUACGGAAGGUCCGGGCGUUAUCCGGAUUUAUUGGGUUUAAAGGGAGCGUAGGCCGGAGAUUAAGCGUGUUGUGAAAUGUAGACGCUCAACGUCUGCACUGCAGCGCGAACUGGUUUCCUUGAGUACGCACAAAGUGGGCGGAAUUCGUGGUGUAGCGGUGAAAUGCUUAGAUAUCACGAAGAACUCCGAUUGCGAAGGCAGCUCACUGGAGCGCAACUGACGCUGAAGCUCGAAAGUGCGGGUAUCGAACAGGAUUAGAUACCCUGGUAGUCCGCACGGUAAACGAUGGAUGCCCGCUGUUGGUCUGAAUAGGUCAGCGGCC
rnacentral:rRNA from 1 species